rnacentral:rRNA from 1 species
ACUCAAAUGAAUUGACGGGGGAGCGCACAACCGGUGGAGCAUGUGGUUUAAUUCGAUACAAAGCGUAAGACCUCACCCAGGUUUGACAUAUAUCUGCAAAUCCUAGGAAACUAGGACUUCUUCGAGAGUGAUAUACAGCUGUUGCAUGGCUGUCGUCAGUUCGUGUCGUGAGACGUUUCUUUAAGUAGAAUAACGAACGCAACCCCUAUCGUGUGUUGAAUAUUCACGCGAGACUGCUCUUGAUAGUAUCAAGGGAGGAAGGAGGGGACGACGUCAAGUCAGCAUGACGCUUACACCUGGGGCCACACACAUCCUACAAUGGGAAGUACAAUGGGUUGCCAACCAGUAAUGGGGAGCCAAUCCCGUAAAACUUCCCUCAGUUCAGAUUGAGGGCUGCAACUCGCCCUCAUGAAGUCGGAAUCGGUAGUAAUCGCGGAUCAGCAGGCCGCGGUGAAUACGUUCUCGCUCCUUGUACACACCGCCCGU